CAUUUUUGAGUUGAAGAGUUUUGAUUGUAUAUUUGCAUCAAUAGGAGUCUAAGGGUUAAUGAUUUAUUUGACAGGAUAGUGUGGGGAACAAAACACGGGCAAAUAAGUGAGUUUUUUAUCCUAUUGCUGUCUUAGACAAGAUAAUAAAUCUGCCAAACUGUUAAGUCGGUCAGUAUUUAAAAAAUCUUUGUUUUUACUUUUUUUGUUUUUGCUAUCAUACUAAUUUAAAUAUUACAGUAACUGAAAGCUUUAAUACUUUGACAGAUCAGCCGAGUUGUCCUGCAAAGAGCUGCAAUACCAGUUCAAGUGGAGAUACUGAAGUGGACUCAGAUGACACAAUAGUAUUACAACACAGUCCUACAACAAGAUGAAGAGUUGAAGACGCCUCACUUGCCAAAGUGGUUGCUGUCAUUGGUGAGGAUGCAUCAUCCGUUGAAGGUCAUGUGAAUGUCCUGCAUAUCCAGUACAGCAAGUUGUUUGAUGAAGUUGACCGAAUGCAUCCAUCACCUGUCAGG